ensembl:antisense Gm13563 predicted gene 13563
CUGUCCUGCUUUGCUCCCCACACUCAAGUGUCUGCCUCCAAAGCUGUAAGGCUGAGGUUCUUGGUUUUCAAAAACUCUUUGAAGGAGAAUGGAUUGGCUUCUUCAAGGUCUUCAAGUUUGUCACCUGAAAAAACGAACACCACAGAAGACUGUGAAAGGGCCCAACAUCCUGUGUUACCAUCACGUUUCAACUGUAACUCAAAGAACAUUACAGAACAUGAGAGCUGCCAAAGAGGGUUUCUCUGUGUAGCCCUGGCUGUCCUGGAACUCACUCUGUAGACCAGGCUGACCUCGAACUCAGAAAUCCGCCUACCUCUGCCUCCCAAGUGCUGGGAUUAAAGGCGUGCGCCACCACUGCCCGGCUCCACUGCUCUUUUGGGCUCCAGCCAAAACCUGCAAAAAGACAUGGUCAGCUCACCGUGAUCACAGCAAGCCUUAUGACUGCAGCGUUUGUCCAGGGAGGUGAAGACCGCAGACGCCUGACUCCCACUGAGUCUGGGACUAGAAAGCUGUCUUCUGAGGCUGGAUGCGGUAAACUACACAUCCCUGCGCGCUCUAAGAGCAGCUGCAGGUGGAACGCAGACCCGCUAGGUCCAGCCCCUGGCCUUGCCCAAGCCGGUGGGCUUAAGUGGCCUCCGAGCUCCACCAGGCACUACCUUCCUGCCUUGAGGCGGGCGGGCGGGCUGUGGGGAGGGCUCCCCGCGCUGCCCAGCUCCGCACUGUGGCCGGCGCCCCGACCGACUCUCACCUGUGUCUCCUACCGAAGCCAGCACCGGGCUGGGCACAUAGCACAUAAACGUCGGCCGAAAGCCGAAGAGAUGGGGGUGCAGGUCCCCGCCAUGGGGGCGCUC